AUUGAACGCUGGCGGCAGGCCUAACACAUGCAAGUCGAACGAGUGGCGGACGGGUGAGUAAUGUCUGGGAAACUGCCUGAUGGAGGGGGAUAACUACUGGAAACGGUAGCUAAUACCGCAUACCAUCGGAUGUGCCCAGAUGGGAUUAGCUAGUCGGGGGGGUAAAGGCUCACCUAGGCGACGCUCCCUAGCUGGUCUGAGAGGAUGACCAGCAACACUGGAACGGAGACACGGGCCAGAAUCCUACGGGAGGCAGCAGUGGGGAAUAUUGAACAAUGGGCGCAAGCCUGAUGCAGCCAUGCCGCGUGUAUGAAGAAGGCCUUCGGGUUGUAAAGGACGUUCAGCGGGGAGGCGUUACCCGCAGAAGAAGCACCGGCUAACUCCGUGCCAGCAGCCGCGGUAAUUC
rnacentral:rRNA from 1 species